UUUGUGCGAUUCACAGCAGAAAACAAUGGGACAAUCGACUGAAAGGUCUGCACAGCUGGAGACAGACAAAGCCGAUAAAUUGGAAAAAGUCACCGUCGUCACCUCUGUACCUGAGCCCAGUACUCCAUUAUUCAGUUUCAUUAAAGCUGGGAAAUGCUGUCCUUUUCAGUUUCCUUAAAGAAACAUGCCAUGCAGUGUCCCAGCAAGCAAUUACAAACAAAUGUUUUACCUGACUUCAUAAGUAAAAGUUGCCUUGACACAAAGUUGGAGUGAAGCAGUGAAUUACGAGGAUUACUUCGAGAGGACGGCUAGUAGUGGAAGACUGCAGGUGGUGCAGCAGCGUGAAGCCACAAUUUUUUUUUUAUCAUGUCAUGUCAUUUUAAAAACAUUUUUUAAAUAUUUCAACUGAAAAAGUAA